rnacentral:rRNA from 1 species
ACUCCUACGGGAGGCAGCAGUGGGGAAUAUUGCACAAUGGGCGCAAGCCUGAUGCAGCCAUGCCGCGUGUAUGAAGAAGGCCUUCGGGUUGUAAAGUACUUUCAGCAGUGAGGAAGGUGGGGUAUGUUAAUAGCAUACUCAUUUGUACGUUAGCUGCAGAAGAAGCACCGGCUAACUCCGUGCCAGCAGCCGCGGUAAGUACGGAGGGUGCGAGCGUUAAUCGGAAUUACUGGGCGUAAAGCGCAUGCAGGUGGUUUGUUAAGUCAGAUGUGAAAGCCCGGGGCUCAACCUCGGAAUUGCAUUUGAAACUGGCAAACUAGAGUACUGUAGAGGGGGUAGAAUUUCAGGUGUAGCGGUGAAAUGCGUAGAGAUCUGAAGGAAUACCGGUGGCGAAGGCGGCCCCGUGGACAGAUACUGACACUCAGAUGCGAAAGCGUGGGGAGCAAACGAGGAUUAGAUACCCCGUGGUAGGUCAGUC